rnacentral:lncRNA from 1 species
AAACUGUUUUAACAUCGUAUUGGCCCUAACAACACACAACAUUCCAGGAAUGUACUACCAAAGUUCUAUCAAUAUUUGAAUGUCCUGGACAUUUAGGGAACAUUCGGUGAACAUCUGUUUAAAUUAUUCCUGGAAUGUUACCAUAAGACAUUCUGUGAACAUACUACCAAUGUUCAUAUAUUUUAAGUUGCGAAAUAAUACAUACGUGUAACAGAUACAACAUUACUUAUAACAUACCAGACAAACUAAGUGACACUUUAGGCCUACAGUGCAAUAAUAUGUCAAAUUUAAAGAGUUUUCCAAGUUCAAUUAAUACAAUAUUAUAAACAUACAAAUGUAAUAAAAAUUAUUGUUCGCGAAUAUUCAAUUUGGAAUGCGAUUUUGUUAAUAAAAAAAAUACUUAUAACUUAUGCAAAACCCAAGAGAGGCAUUUAUAUUUAUUUCUUUUGCGUUCAUUUUCAAAUUCGCCGUGCAUAUAUUUUUGUGCAUGGCGCUUGAGAGGGCAUCACGUGACUAAAAACGACCAACCAACGACCUCGCUUCGGCCAUCUUGGCAUCUUCAUCUUGCCACCUUUGUAUUAUUUGUGCUUUUUAAGAAUAUUUUUUUAAUUCGGAUACUUUUAUAAUAGCUUUAAUAGUAUUAUUAACAUAGUGAAUAAAAUGGUGUCCUGUUUUUAACGCAGUUGGAGUAGCAGAAACAAAUGUAGAUAAAAAAAUCUGCAGGAAUAACGUUUCAAUUAUGACAGAAGCUCCAAACAAAUGACUGUGAAUGAAAAUGAAAAGCCCUAUUAAAAGCUUUCCAGAAGAUCCUGCGAAGAAGACAUGAAGUAUAGAUCAGAUUUGUUAAUAGAGGAGUAUGUUCAAAACACUUUUUAGAAAAAGAUAUUGACAGAAUUUCACUUUCAUCUGUUCGUUUAAGAGACUGUGCUGUUCCAAUAGCUUAUGUCACACAGAAUCAGCUGAGAGAAGUGGUCUACAAAAAACCAGAAAGGAAACGGAAUAUGUGGCUACGAAAAGCAAAAGAAAGGUUUACAAAGCAAAUGUGACACAUUUUUUUAUAAUAUUUAGGAAUGUCAGUAAAUUACAUUAAAAAAUGUAUGUAAAGAUUUUUUGCAAUAAAUUUUUUUUAUAUUUA